rnacentral:rRNA from 1 species
GACGAACGCUGGCGGCGUGCUUAACACAUGCAAGUCGAGCGGUAAGGCCCCUUUUGGGGGGUACACGAGCGGCGAACGGGUGAGUAACACGUGGGUGACCUGCCCUCAGCUCUGGGAUAAGCCUGGGAAACUGGGUCUAAUACUGGAUAUGACUCCACGGUGCAUGUCGUGGGGUGGAAAGCCUUGUGCGGCUGAGGAUGGGCCCGCGGCCUAUCAGCUUGUUGGUGGGGUGANGGCCUACCAAGGCGACGACGGGUAGCCGGCCUGAGAGGGCGACCGGCCACACUGGGACUGAGACACGGCCCAGACUCCUACGGGAGGCAGCAGUGGGGAAUCUUGCGCAAUGGGCGAAAGCCUGACGCAGCGACGCCGCGUGAGGGAUGACGGCCU